AGUUUAUGUUGACAGUGGCUUGGUUGUCGUCAUUCGUGACGCUUUAAAACACCAAUGAACUGCAGAUCAGACUAUAUGUAAACAUGAUUGAUUCAUUUU